rnacentral:rRNA from 1 species
CGAAGGACAUGCGAAAGGUCCGGCGUAGAGGGUAAGACCCCCGUAGUCGAAACGUCAGCGGCUCGUUUGAGAGACACCCAAGUAGCACGGGGCCCGAGAAAUCCCGUGUGAAUCUGGCGGGACCACCCGCUAAGCCUAAAUAUUCCCUGGUGACCGAUAGCGGAUAGUACCGUGAGGGAAUGGUGAAAAGUACCCCGGGAGGGGAGUGAAAUAGUACCUGAAACCGUGUGCCUACAAGCCGUGGGAGCGUCGGA